rnacentral:rRNA from 1 species
GACGAACGCUGGCGGCGUGCUUAACACAUGCAAGUCGAACGGAAAGGCCCGGCUUUUGUGGGGUGCUCGAUUGGCGAACGGGGGAGUAACACGCGAGUAACCUGCCCUUGUAUGUGGGAUAACAUCAGGAAACUGGGGCUAAUACCGGGUAGGAGCUCCUGCUGCAUGGGGGGGGUUGGAAAGUUUCGGCCGUUGGGGAUGGACUCGCGGCUUAUCAGCUUGUUGGUGGGGUAGUGGCGUACCAAGGUUUUGACGGGUAGCCGGCCCGGGAGGGUGACCGGCCACCUUGCGCCUGCGGUAGGGACCAGAAUCCUACGGGACGCAACAGUGGGGAGUAUUGCGCAAUGGGCGGACGCCUGAUGCAGCAACGCCGCGUGCGGGAUGACGGCUUUCGGGUUGUAAACCACUUUCGCCUGUGACGAAGCGUGAGUGACGGUACUGGGUAAAGAAGCACCGGCUAACUACGUG